rnacentral:rRNA from 1 species
AAAGACGGUCGCUCAACGAUUGCAGUGCCAUUGAUACUGGUAGACUUGAGAGAGAUUGAGGUAGCUGGAAUGGAUAGUGUAGCGGUGAAAUGCAUAGAUAUUAUCCAGAACACCAAUUGCGUAGGCAGUUACUAAGUCUCAACUGACGCUGAGGCACGAAAGGUUGGGUAUCAAACAGGAUUAGAUACCCUGGUAGUCCACACUGUAAACGAUGAUAACUAACUGUUGGCUUUCGGGUCAGUGGUACAGAGAAAUCGUUAAGUUAUCCACCUGGGGAGUACGCCGGCAACGUGAAACUCAAAGGAAUUGACGGGGGUNNNCACAAGCGGAGCAUGAGGUUUAAUUCGACGAUACGCGAGGAACCUUACCUAGGCUAGAAUGUGAGUGAAUGUAUCAGA